rnacentral:lncRNA from 1 species
CAAGGAAUAGUAAUCCUUUCUUACAACAAUUAUGCAACAAUUUUGUUACAUUCUCCGCAUGCUUUUUGACGAACUUAUAUGAAAAUUAUUUCAGGACGUUCUCAAAAGGCGUAGAAACCGUAAAAGGGAUGCAGGCUUUUCGUUGACUUUUACUGCAUUUGCUGGGCUGGUGGGUUUGAUGGUUGGCUUCAUAUUAAAUCUCAUGUUUUAUUCACCACCUACUGCGUAAACUUACAGGUUGAGAGCAUGAAAAUUUAUAAACCCUGUAAUGCUUGAAAAUGGAGUGGUACUAUUUCACUUUUCUUCGUAAACCACACUUUGUGGUCCGUUUCUCUCCAUUAGUUGGCCUAGAAAGAAGUUUGGUUGCAAGUGAUCUGGUCGAUGUGGCUUUGUCAUCAUUGUCUCUUCCAUUAUCCUUUUUAGUUUAAUGACUCGCAACAUGUAUUCUUUUGUUAUUUGCCUUGUAAUUAUGCUCAAAAUGACUUUAUCAUUGUAUAGCUUAUGCCAUGGUUAUUCAGUCUUUUCUUCUUUGUCUUUCUGUUGUUUCUUUGUGUGCAUAUUACAAUUUGUUGCGAGUAUUUGUUUUGUUGAUUGUUUGAAAGACAAAAAUGACUCCUGUGUAAGAUAAUUCUUUUACCUUUUGUGUGAUAUAUUUACUUGCAUAGCAAAUUCGUUAACAUUUUCUUUUUCUUAUUAUAGGAUAAGAAUACAUUACAGACCAAUAAGUGGGUGGGUUAUGGAGUUCUUGAACUGCAUCUUGGUAAAAGUUAAGUAGAUUGGUUGAC